rnacentral:snRNA from 1 species
CGUCUAGCGGAUGAGUUAGCGAA